CCUACGGGUGGCUGCAGUGGGGAAUAUUGCACAAUGGGCGCAAGCCUGAUGCAGCCAUGCCGCGUGUGUGAAGAAGGCCUUCGGGUUGUAAAGCACUUUCAGCGGGGAGGAAGGCGGUGAGGUUAAUAACCUCAUCGAUUGACGUUACCCGCAGAAGAAGCACCGGCUAACUCCGUGCCAGCAGCCGCGGUAAUACGGAGGGUGCAAGCGUUAAUCGGAAUUACUGGGCGUAAAGCGCACGCAGGCGGUCUGUCAAGCCGGAUGUGAAAUCCCCGGGCUCAACCUGGGAACUGCAUUCGAAACUGGCAGGCUAGAGUCUUGUAGAGGGGGGUAGAAUUCCAGGUGUAGCGGUGAAAUGCGUAGAGAUCUGGAGGAAUACCGGUGGCGAAGGCGGCCCCCUGGACAAAGACUGACGCUCAGGUGCGAAAGCGUGGGGAGCAAACAGGAUUAGAUACCCGUGUAGUC
rnacentral:rRNA from 1 species